GCAUGCGCAGCGCCCCCCGCGCGCUGGAGCUCCCGGGGGGCCGCGAUCAAUGGGGCUGCGAUGGGCCGGCCCGCACCGCCGCCAGUCUGUCCUUAAAUACCUCCCGGCAAUCCAUUCCAGUGUCUCAUCACCCUUGCUGUGAAUUCCUCCUCAUGUCCAUCCUGAACUCCCCCGGCACGGUUUAGAGUGUGAGUUCUGUUUUCAUUACACCAAAUGUCCGUUCGUCCCAGGAUCAUGAGGUGGUCUCUGCAGUCAGGAGGAGAGUGCCUGCCAGCAGCACAGCAAGAUCUGUGGUUAGUGCAACUAUGGAUAAAAAUAAAACCUGAAUGCAACAGCCAGUACUUUCUACUGUAAAAGUACUUUAGUGAAGUACUUUGUUUCACCUACAGCAAAUACAAGUUUCAUGCACAAGGCACUCAGGAUUGCUCCAUGUGGAAGGACACUCAUGAGGUUCUUGAUGAAUGCUGCAUCAAACUAAAGAUGACAGGACAUCUCUGGCCAGUCAUGAGAACACUGGGUGUGGAGAGUCAAUAAACUCACUGGAUGCUCA